AGCAGUGUGGCUCAGUGGAAAGAAGCCGGGCUCGGGAGUCAGAGGUCGUGGGUUCAAAUCCCGCCUCUGCCA
rnacentral:tRNA from 1 species